UACAGAGGGUGCAAGCGUUGUUCGGAAUUAUUGGGCGUAAAGGGCGCGUAGGCGGUGCGGUAAGUCUGUAGUGAAAUCUCUGGGCUCAACUCAGAGUCUGCUGCAGAAACUGCCGUGCUUGAGUGUGGGAGAGGUGAGUGGAUUUCCCGGUGUAGCGGUGAAAUGCGUAGAUAUCGGGAGGAACACCUGUGGCGAAAGCGGCUCACUGGACCACAACUGACGCUGAGGCGCGAAAGCUAGGGGAGCAAACAGG
rnacentral:rRNA from 1 species